rnacentral:sRNA from 1 species
AAAAAAAAAGAUCUCAGAUUCCAUUUUCUCUUCUUCUUUCUUCUUCUUUUUUUCACUUCUUCUUCUUAUCAAAUCUUGUAGUAUACGACCAUGGAGUUAGAGGGAGUGUCACUACCGUUGAUCCACAAGCAUCUUAUGAUGCCUUGGAAUGAUCUAAAGAGAGGUGAUUGCUGUGGACGCUCUGGAUUUACCACUGGUGGCUAUUACUGCAAAAGAUGUGACUUUUAUGUCCACAAGAAAUGUGUUGAUGAGUGCUUAGAAUAUAUUGAACACCCAUCUCACACAGUUCACGCUUGUUGGUCGAUAAUUGAGUUCUGUCUAUAUUAAAGUUUCAUGUAUUAAGUGGUUACUUGUCAAGGGACACAAGUACGAAGAGACACAACUCAUUGUGUGUUGUGUCUAUUUGUUUUCUAUAUAAACCCCUUGUAUCGUCAUGUAAAUACCAACAAGUUUCAGUUUCAAUAAAACAAAGUUUUGUUCUUGUCUUCUUCACAAGAGAAGAGAUAUGUCUCUCUUACUCUGUUUUUCUUCUCUCUCUCAAUAAUCCAACAUGGUAUCAGAGCCGAUGGUUGUCCUUGGUUGUCUCUACAAAAAUAAGAUGUCUUCUGCUGCGAAAAGAAAAAGAGAGAUGGAGACAACAAAUCUAUGGUGAGAUGAAGAGGAAGAAGAAGAGGGAAGAAGAAGAAAUAAGAGGUGGUAACAAGAGAAAGUACCAUCAGUUUUCACAAACACAUUCACAUGAAGUACCUUCAAGAGGAAGGCUCCAAAAGCGAUGAAGAAGAUAGGAAAUCUUCUCUAGAGGCAAUGGAGAAAACGAAUGUGGAUUUGGAGUUGUGGAAGGAGAGUUCUGAAAAUUUGUUCAACAACGUCUUGGUGAAGCGCAAGACGGGAAAGCCGCUGUUGUAACAAACUGAGCAAGGCUUAUUAUCAAAACGUUGUGUUGAGUUGUGAAGAUGACUACAACACGAAAACGUGGAGAAAAGUUUGCUUCAAAAGGAAGAAACAAACGGGGCGACAAAAGUCAAAAGAAGGCCAAGAAAUAGUGUGACUUUUGUACGUGUGACGAUCACAUUGAGGUGAUUGUUGGAGAAAGCAACACAGAGAUGUUAGCUUGCCUACGAGUGUGAAGCUGCUUACCUAAGAGAGAGGGAGCAGAGUUCAGUUCGGUUGCAAAGAUAGCCGACGAAGACGUGAAGAGAUUUUCACGCACAAGACGUCAAAAAGACGUGGAGGUGAUCAAAAGAGGACACCAUAAGAGGAUGCUUACCUCGGAGAAAAAUGGAGCACAAGAUGAUGCUUACCUCGGAGAAAAAUGGAG